rnacentral:tRNA from 1 species
UGGCUCAGUGGUUAGAGCGUCAGCCUGCAGACUGAAGGGUCCCAGGUUCGAUUCCCGG